AAGGUAACCAUAGAGUUUGAUCCUGGCUCAGCGGGAAGUAGGAAGGAAUCCAGGGUGUUUCCUCGAACCGCAUGGUUCAGGGAUAAAAGACGGUUUCGGCUGUCACUUACAGAUGGACCCGCGGCGCAUUAGCUAGUUGGGGGGGUAAUGGCUGGGGGGGGGGGGGAUGCGUAGCCGACCUGAGAGGGUGAUCGGCCACACUGGGACUGAGACACGGCCCAGACUCUCCUACGGGAGGCAAGACAGUAGGGAAUCUUCCGCAAUGGACGAAAGUCUGACGGAGCACCGCCGCGUGGAGUGAUGAAGGUUUUCGGAUCGAUAAGCUCUGUUGUUAGGGAAGGACCAGUGCGAGAGUAACUGCUCUUUCCUUGACGGUACCUAACCAGAAAGGCACGGUUAACUAGGUGCCAGCACCGCGCGGUAAUACGUAGGUGGCAAGCGUUGUCCGGAAUUUUUGGGGCGUAAAGGGCUCGCAGGCGGUUUCUUAAGUCUGAUGUGAAAGCCCCCGGGCUCACCCGGGGAGGGGUCAUUGGAAACUGGGAAAACUUGAGUGCAGAAGAGGAGAGUGGAAUUCCCACGUGUAGCGGGUGAAAUGCGUAAGAGAUGUGGAGGAACACCAGUGGCGAAGGCGACUCUCUGGUCUGUAACUGACGCUGAGGGAGCGAAAGCCGUGGGGGAGCGAACAGGAUUAGAUACCCUGGUAGUCCACGCCGUAAACGAUGAGUGCUAAGGUGUUAGGGGGGUUUCCCGCCCCUUAGUGCUGCAGCUAACGCAUUAAGGCACUCCGCCUGGGGGAGUACGGUCGCAAGACUGAAACCUCAAAGGGAUUGACGGGGCGCCCGCACAAGCGGUGGAGCAUUGUGGUUUAAUUCGAAGCAACGCGAAGAACCUUACCGGGGGGUCUGACAUCCUCUGACAACCCUAGAGAUAGGGCUUUCCCUUCGGGGACAGAGUGACAGGUGGUGCAUGGUUGUCGUCAGCUCGUGUCGUGAGAUGUUGGGUUAAGUCCCGCAACGGAGCGCCACUCUUGAUCUUAGUUGCCAGCAUUCAGUUGGGCACUCUAGGGUGAACCUGCCGGUGACAAACCGGAGGAAGGUGGGGAUGACGUCAAAUCAUCAUGCCCCUUAUGACCUGGGCUACACACGUGCCACAAUGGACAGAACAAAGGGCUGCAAGACCGCAAGGUUUAGCCAAUCCCAUAAAUCUGUUCUCAGUUCGGAUCGCAGUCUGCAACUCGACUGCGUGAAGCUG
rnacentral:rRNA from 1 species